GACGAACGCUGGCGGCGUGCCUAAUACAUGCAGGUAGAACGCUGAAGAGAGGAGCUUGCUCUUCUUGGAUGAGUUGCGAACGGGUGAGUAACGCGUAGGUAACCUGCCUUGUAGCGGGGGAUAACUAUUGGAAACGAUAGCUAAUACCGCAUAACAAUGGAUGACCCAUGUCAUUUAUUUGAAAGGGGCAAAUGCUCCACUACAAGAUGGACCUGCGUUGUAUUAGCUAGUAGGUGAGGUAACGGCUCACCUAGGCGACGAUACAUAGCCGACCUGAGAGGGUGAUCGGCCACACUGGGACGGAGACACGGCCCAGACUCCUACGGGAGGCAGCAGUAGGGAAUCUUCGGCAAUGGGGGCAACCCUGACCGAGCAACGCCGCGUGAGUGAAGAAGGUUUUCGGAUCGUAAAGCUCUGUUGUAAGUCAAGAACGAGUGUGAGAGUGGAAAGUUCACACUGUGACGGUAGCUUACCAGAAAGGGACGGCUAACUACGUG
rnacentral:rRNA from 1 species